CCCCGGUCAAGGAGUUUUGAUAGGAAUUCCUUCUGUCCUCAGGGUCAGCCUCUUAUGUCCCUUUCCCUUUUACCCCCAAGGCCAGAUCAGCCUGUCAAGUACAUUCAACUACUUGGCCCAACUAUUUCCACCAAAUUAAAUUUCCGACUUGCAAGGGCCUCACUCUGUCUCUCUGGUAGUUUUCUCUCAAGCGGUCAGCCCAGAGGUGUAUCACUCCUGCGCCUUGAUGGAGGGAAGAAAGCUGGUAUGAAGGCUCCGCUCCCCAACAGUAGUUUUGUGUUAGAAUCCUGAUGGGACACUAAGAUGUUUGAAUAAAGGGCCAGAACCACACGCAAACCUCCUUCCUGGGCUCUCCUGUCCCCAGCUGCCCUGUUCAAGCCCUGGAGUGUAUUAAGAGAAGGGCCAAGGUCAACCAACAUCAUAUACCAACAGAUGGCCAGACUUCUUCUAGGACAGUAGAUAGUUUCUCCCCCCACCCCAAGUCUCGGAUUAUAAGCUGGACGUUAUUCCGUGCUGUUUGCAUACAGCCGUUCUGAAAGGCAGAACUGUCUCCAGUGUCCGGCGAGGCGCUCUGACACAUGGGCUUGAGGCUGGUCUGUGCCGGGAAGGGCCACCCGAGAAAGCUGCGCGGCAGACCCCACAAGGCAUUCAGCCAGAUGGGAUCAGAAAAACCAAGUUCAAGAGAAUCGCUGUUACAUGUGACUGUACUGGAGAACGGACCACACGGGCUAACGACUGAAGUGUGGGAAAAGCCAGUACUUUGUCUUUUCCUCAGGCGUUUGAAAUACCACAUCUUUUCAUUCACUAGACUCUACAUCUGCCUGGGUCUCUUUUGCUGUUCACUACUUUGCUUAUUAAUUUACUAGACACGAGAUUCUCGGGAUACUGCAUUGUUGGGAUGUAUUAUGCCAUUCAGUCUACUACGUAUGUUGGAAUACUAUACUCUUACGUUGUUGUGUGAUACCUGGAAGGACAAGUUUCCUCCAAUUAUUUUUCUUUCAAAAUGUUUCUCUUUUUAAAAAAAUGUAAUGCUUUCAGACAUUUUCUUCCUAUUAUUUCAUGUCAUUUUUACUUUAUCCCACUUGAACUUUUAGCCAAGGGAAGUGGCCAAAACAACCCCUACUACACCUUGUCCGAGUGUAAUAAAGACUCACAUUUUGCUGGCUCAAAACACUGGAGUGUGUUGGGUGAAGAUAUGCUCCUUCCGGCGAAGACGUAAGGCAAGAGUGGGGGCCUGAAAAGAGAAAGGUAGCCACGUGGCUGGUAGGAGUGCGGGACUCUUAGAACAUAAAUAAUGCAUUUAUUCAUAAAAGGGAGGAGUUAGAAUGUAAAAAACAGUGAAAUUAAAUAAGUGGAUAUAAGAUGCCAGAUUAUACUUAAAAGGUGGAAAAGUGGUUAGAAGAUACUACGGCAAGCACGGUGGGGGGUGUGCACGUGUGUGUCCUCGGACUCUUGGGGAGAUGUGGCAAUAGAUGACAAAUCAAAACAUAACAUGUAGGGACGCCUGAGUGGCUCAGCGGGUUAAGCAUCCGACUUUGGCUUAGGUCAUGGCCUCAGGGUCCUGCGAUAGAGCCGAGCCUUUGGGGGCUCCACGCUCAGGAGCGGGUUGGGGAGGUCUAUUUCUCCCCUUCCCUCAGCUCCUCCCCUGCUUGUGCUCUCUCUUUCUCAAAUAAAUAAAUAAAAUCUUUUUAAAAAAAGUGACAUGCAAACCUUCACCCUGAGAAUCAGGAAAGGCUAGCUCGUGAGCCUGUGUUAAGAAUGAUCAAUACAAUCAUUGUUAGAAUUAAAAACCAGGAUAUGUAACUUUCAAAGACCAGAAAAUAUUAUAAAGCACCUCUCCCACACUAGCGAAAAAAUGAAAUUAAAUUUAAUUUAAAAAAUGAAAAUGAAGAAGCAACAAAGAAGUGGAACAAAGAACAACAUAAGAGAAGGAAAAGUACAGCAACCAGAAUAAAAAAAUAUAAAUGAUGUAAUACCCCAGAGUAAGAAAGAAAACUUUCAGAAAGUUCCUUAAAACAAAGUACAAGCAUGUACUCUUUAUAAGUCGUGCCUACAAAAAGCUGAUGUGCUUAGAAGUUGAAGGCAGUGUCUGAGCAGAAGGAAGCCAACUUUGUUCUAAUUCAAAUCCUCUUGGCUAUUUUAGCAUUUUGCAUUUCCAUUUUUGGAAUCAGCUUACCAAGCUUCACGAUGCUGGAAUUUUGCUUAGGAUUGGGUUCAACCCACAGAUCAAUCUGAGAAAACUGGAACCCUUACAAUGCUGGCUUUGCAGUCCCUGGAGAUGACGCGCCCUCCACGCACGGAGCACUUAGUUCUCCCAAGGAUGCUUUGAAGCUUUCGUCUAAAGGUCUUGCACAUAUUUCAAUGUAUCUAUCUCUAGGUAUUUGAUUUUCAUACUAUUGUAAAUGAUGCAUUUUUGAAAUUUCAUGUUCUCCUUGUUAAUUAUUGCACUGAGAAAUACAAUUGAUUUUUUGGGUGUUUUGGUUUUAUAUUCAGUAACCUCUCUAAAUUUACUAGUAUAAAUACUUUAUGUAAAUCUCUUUGGCUUGUCAGGUACACAAUCAUGUCUUCGGCAAAUAAUGAGUUUUAUUUCUUUCUUUAUUAUUCUUCUGCCUCUUUUUCCCCUGGGCUUAUCACACACACCUAGGACUUACAAUAUAAUGGUGAAUUGUGUGGCAUCAUUGACUCAUUCCUGAUCUAUGAGGACAGCUUCAAUAUUCCAUCAUUAG